GUGCUAGCUUCAGCAGCACAUAAACUCAGCACAUAUACUAAAAUAGAAACAAAACAGACAUUAGCAUGGCCCCUGUGCAAGGAUGACACACACAUUUGUGAAGUGUUCCAUAUUUUA
ensembl:snRNA U6 U6 spliceosomal RNA